ACCCCUUCUCACUGCACGUGUGUCUUUAUCAGACACUUACCAAAUGACUCACGAGACUGGAAGUCAGCGUUUUGCCCUAUUUAUCUUUGAGCGAUGGGGCAGGACUGAACGCCACACCCAGUACACGGCCCCCAAUAGAUGUCUUAAAAAAAACCAACAACAGCGCUAGGGUAUAGUGCUACAUCAGACCCAUAGCAGAGAUGGCUUCUGAUCGCAUAAAGAACACACAUAUGGGAAGAAGAAAACUGUCCCUCCGCCCUGCAUCAUUAGAAAAGAGGCUUCCUCUGGGAACACACAGUUCCUCAGGCGGCGGCUUAGCACCCAGACAGGACCUUUGUGCUCAUUAAGAACGAAGGCCUCCAGGCUCCAGCAGCUCUGAACAAGCAGAGCAGAGAGGCUGGAUUCCAGCGCCGACCCACUCAGCGGGGUGGCCUUGUGCCGGAGAGGUACUGCUCCAAGACAGCCCUGCUGACCCAUGGGUGGACAAGAUAUAUUUCCUCCCAAGGAGCUGACAGUCUGUGCAAUUCAACAAUCAAGGAAACCCGCAUAGUUGACCUGGAUAUAAAUGCCUGGACAUUCUACUAUCGUCGUUUCCAGGACAGGAACCCCCACCGUGUAUGAUGGAUGAGACCAGGAGAUGGUGAGGAUCCCAUCCAAGGAUAAGAUUCAAAGAUUAAAAAUCUCUAAAUUUCAUGUUCAUCUGAAUGCUUUGAACCUUAAUCUCCCCUUUGUGCUGUCAUGUCAGUAUUUUGCAUUUUGGAGGGCAAUUAUUUGAAGAGGGACAAUCAAUGCUCUUCUAUUUUACCUACCUAUCGGUCGACCUAUUUUUUUUUUUAAGAUUCCCUGAGAAAAAAAUUUUAGAGGAAAACAGGAGCUCUGAAAUGAGCUAGAAUUUAAUGUCAUGCCAUUAACAUUUCAGAAAAUGCUAGCAGAAGCUUGAGGAGAUAAUUACAUACAAGGGAAGCAAAUUGGGUGUGUAUACCACAGGUCCACCAGAAAGUGUUUCAAAGUGGAUCGUGUCACCGAAAAUUGUUUGUUCUCAACAAGUUUGAGCUGAAAUAAUAUUUACAUUUGGACGAAUGGUUUCUAAUUGGGUUAUCCAUUAGCGAUGGAGGGCAGGAGUUGUGAGAAAACGAAACCUAAUUUGCAAGCCUCAGACAGGAAGGCAGCGAUUAGUUGUGGAAGGUGAGCAAAUGCACAGCUCCUGAGCCCUAUCUGCCUUCAGCGGUGCCAGAAAGGGGUGGUGUAGCCAGGGAUGAAGCCAGCAAUGCCCAGAGUGCCAAUGAAAACUCACUCUUUCAUAGAACUUUACAAAGCACUUUCCCACACACGAUCUUCUUUGAUCUUGCUUGUCCUCGUUUACAGCUGAGGCGAUGAAGAUUCAGGUGACUCACCCGAGGUCACGGAAUGAGGGCAGGAAGGGACCGCGAUGCAUGCCAGUUCUUCUGACCCUCAAUCCCAUGUUCUGGCCACCCUGCCUCUCAAAAACCUUCCGAAAGUGACAGCUCAUAGUAAGGCCCUUGGCAAUGAAGGGUCUUACAUUCAGCCAAUAUACUAAUGGGUAUAAAUCAAUUGCACAGUAAUGGCCUGACCCGCAGCUGCUGGGAUGGUGGCCACAGGG
ensembl:lncRNA